GCCUCACAGAAUCCCCCACCGGCCCCUGUGCCCUUCUCUCUGGGCUAGAGGCUGCUGCCGGGAGGCGGAGAAUCGGCCACGUGGCAGCUCCGUUGUCGGGAGGGGGCUCGAUGCAGGCUCCCCCAGCCACGCAGCUUCCUGCAGGAGAAACUCAGGGAUGGAUCGCAGCCCUCCAGGCGGCAGCCUGCUGUAAAAAGGUGCCGCUGACGGGAAAGCCUGAGGACCAGGGAGCAGUUCGGAGGGCUUCCCUGCCCCGCCGCCUCCUGUCAGGAAACUCAGCCUGGUAGUGCUCUCUGAGACUUCCUUCUCCUGGAGAAAAGCAGAGGGAACAAGAGACUGGUGCCAAUGGUGGCACUGUGUUUUCUUUGAGAAGAAGAUGGAAAAGUAAGGGUGCUCUUGAAAACAGCAAGCUCAGCAGAAAAUGGGGGCUCCACAAAGCCAGUGGGAUGCAGAAUGCCGAAAUGGGAGUUCUGCAGCGACAGCCUUAGAAGGACCUUCCAGUCAGACUGAGCAAGAAGAAGUGAGAGCUUCAUUGGAUCAGCAUCUGCAAGGGCCCACAGCUGGGCCAGAAGCUCAGCAGCAGAGCCCUCUGUCCGGGCGGCAGAAGAGGUCUACCCCACCAAUGGCCGGGCAGCUAAAGCUUGGGGGCUCUUAGUGGUGGGGAAUUGAGAGACAUCAUCUGUCCAGGAGCCUGGGAGACAUGGCAGGAGGAAAGGGAAUGAGAACUGGCACCGCUGGAGAGGGACGGGCCAGAAGCCAAAGGUGAGGUGUGAUUUCCAUGCUUUGUGAUGGGAUCAGGCCCUUCCAGCUGGAGAGUCCCAGAGGCAGGCUCUCAUGGUGGGAAUAAGCUAGGAGCCUGUGAGUUAUGGGUGCAAAACAGAGUAGGGAGGCCACCAUGCCCUGCAUCCGUGGUCAGGAUGAUUGGCAGGUGGGGGAAUUGCUGGCAGCCAACUCAAAGGAAUCGGCCCUGCAGUCUGGCCCAAUAUAUCCCUGGAUCAAGGCUUGUUGCAGGCCUGGCCGGGGUCACCUGCUAGCAACUGUUGCUGGUCGAUGCCUUCUUUUUCAUGGUAACGGCCAUUUAGCUGUCCCACACUGCCCUGUGAUGAGGCUGUGUCCCAAGGCCAUUGUGGGCAAAAAUAAAAAUAAAAAUGGGUUGCCACCAGGAGGUGACUCAGUUUUGCAGCAGUUUCCACACCAGCAGGCAGCAGCAGCAGCGGCGGCAGCAAAGACCCAGUUACAAGGAAGAUUCUUUUGUCUGGUUUUGAAAGAAGCCUCUGAAAACGAAGUGGGGCCUGACAGAGAGGUGGGUCUGGAAAAGAGCCUCCAGAUGCAUGGGGCUGUGAAAAAGAGAAACUCAGUGUACACACAGGGCUGAAAAGCCCUACAAGGUGGGGAAAAAAGCCCAGAGUGUGUCUUGGGGGGCUUAGUGUAUCUAUUGGGGAGCUGGAGUGUGUCCUGGCAGGCAGCUCAGUCACACAGAGCAAAUGCCUCCUCGCCUGCCCAAGCCACACCCUUGAAACGGAUCCGUCUAACUUCGGGAUGGGGAUCUUCGCUUGUGUGGAUGAGCAGCGAGAGAGAAGUUGGGAGCCUGAAGGAGGAGGCCUCAUGGCCACGUAAGCAGAGCUGCACCUCACAGUUUCCUCCAACAGGAAUCCCCAGGUGUUGUUCACUACAGCUCCCAGCAUCCCCAGGUACAGUGGCUUCUGGCUGGGAAUUAUGGGAGUUGUAGCCAACAACAUCUGGGAAUUCCUGUUAGAGGGAACAGUGGUAAAGCAGAGUGUGCCGUCAAGUCGAUUUUGACUCCUGGCGCCCACAGAGCCCUGUGGUUUCCUUUGGUAGAAUACAGGAGGGGUUUACCAUUGCCUCCUCCUGCGCAGUAUGAGGUGAUGCCUUUUAGCAUCUUCCUAUAUCGCUGCUGCCCAAUAUAGUACCAGCGGGGAUUUGAACUGGCAACCUUCUGCUUGUUCGUCAAGCAUUUCCCCCACUGAGCCGCUUAAGGUGGCACCUAGGUAAUUUUGGAGCCUGGACCUAAAGGCCUCAAGGGAAAAAAGGAGGGUGGGUGACCACACCACCCGGGUCAGACUAGAGAGGAGUUGGGGGGCCCCAGGGGCUCUUGAGGCUGUGGACUUUGGCCCCGAAGUCCAGGGGCAAGAGCACCUCUGCAUAAGUAACCUGUGCUUGUAUGGUGGUGGGGGUUGCCCUUUGGCAGAAGUUUGUCCUCUUGCAUUAUUAAUGGUGAUGGUGUGGAUAGGAAUAGCACAUGUGGAGAGUGUUUUCAGCCAGAGGAAGAAAGUGUCUCUGCGACAGGAAACACUUUUCCUAACAGGUAUGUAUGGUACCUAAUGAUGACCCACCGUGUACGUUUCUAAGUGUUGCUCAUCCUUGUCCAGGUUGUCUUUUCCUCCUUCUGUUUGCAGCCCUAAGCCAUGUAGGCCUCCUUGGCUAGCAGCAGCAGCAGCAGCAGCAGCACCGCCUUUCUGGGAAGGGAGUGAGUGUUCCUUGCAUGGAGCCCUCUGCCUGCUGCUGGAAAUGGGUCUUCCAGGAAGGCUUUGCCUAACACGUUUCCUGACUGGAGUCAGCCAGGGUCUGAUAAACGGCCCUUUAAGUUAGUUUCCUGAAUGGCUGUGUGGAUGUCUUCCUGAAUGGGUUUCAAGGAUGCCUGCAGGCUGGCCUCCCAGAUCAAAGCAACAGUGUGUGUGUGUGUGUGUGUGUGUGUGUGUGUGAGAGAGAGAGAGAGAGAGAGAGAGAGAGAGAGAGAACGCGUUGGGUCGGAGAUUGCCAUUCUGGAACUUUGGAAAAUGAGAGGGAGCUGAGAGUUUCUGCCUAGUUCUGGCUAAAAUCUGGGUUGUAGCCUUGGGAGGCUGGGCUGCCCCCCUCCUUGCUCUCUGGGGGACCUUUGGCCACCUGGGAGUGCCCACCUGCCUCCACUGACCCCCUGCCUCCCUCUAUGAAUUCCGGGGCUUGCUUGGCAUCUCUCUCAUCCAAACGAAACCCAGCCUGGCCGUGUUGCCUCCCCGAGCCUCUCACCCUUGGGAGUCGGGGACACGGCCUUUAUUCCUAUUAAAGGAAUAAAUUUAUAAAAGGAAUAAUUUGUGUUUCCCAAUGUAUGACCAGAAGGGCAUUUUUGCACCACCGCUGUGUGAAUGUGUAGCCCAAGCUGUGCAUGUGCACCCAAAGAGACAUCUGCACCGUGAGACACACACCUGGGCCUUCCUGCUCUUCCCUGGCUUUGAGGUGGAGAUUGAGAUCUGUGAUGGAGAGAGCUGUGCGCACCCAGAGGAGGCAUCUGUCAAGGGUGUUGCCGAGGCAGCUUCUUCCAGGCCCGGGUCCCACCAUCCCAUCUGCUUCCCUCGGCUUCCCUCUGCCUUCAACACUUGCGUGUUGCAAGUGCCUCCUUGGCAGAGGCCCAGCGCUGCUCAAACCCGUCUUGCUGGAGCCAUGAUCUGCUCCACAACUUGUCUUUCUCGUACUGUGUUUCACCAACAAACUCCCACUACUGUCACGGAGGCCCUGAGGAGGAUUUGGCUUCCCUUCCCGUCUGAACUCGUCCGUCCGUGGUGACAAGCUGCUUGGCUGCUCUCCUUGCAGUUUGCAAUAAACACUUCUCCUCUUCAGCUGUCUACGGGAGCCUGUUCCAGAAUCCAGUGGGCAGAGGAGGCGGCUUGCAUCACCUCCUCCGGUGCCUGGGAAAACGGGAGAGCUCUCUGAGCAUGGCGUCCUCCUCAGCCACUUCUCCUUGCCUCUGGAGGGGCCAGGAGGAGCCAGCACAAGGAAAAGGCCAACAGGCCAACUCUUCCCAGCUUGGCCUAGUCCAGAGGGCUUUUGCCCGGACUCCGAGGAGACUCUGGGGCAGGCUCACUCUGGGGGGGGGGGACGACCAGGAGCAGCUUGUCCUAAAGAGCCGGGGAGGGGCACCAAAGGAGGCACAGCUGCUACCUCUCCUUCCUGGAGCUCCAUCUGCUCUCCUCUCUCCCGCCCCACCCCACACUGCCUGCAGGCUGGCCAUUCAUCAGGUAGAGCUGUGUGGUUGACCACACAGCCCUUCCUGGCGAAUGGUCAGCCUGACGGCAAUGUGGCUCUCAUUAAUGCUGGAGCAGAGCAGGAUGGGAGGGUGAGGAGCAAGGAGAGCUAUGGGAAGGAGAGGCUCCUUUGGUGCCCCCCUCCCCGGCCAGGUCCUUAGGAUGAGCUGCUCCUGGGGGAAAUGACCUUUUCAGCAACCUCAUGGAAAAAAUAAUUACUGUGGCAGUAAUACUCAGGGGAUGCCAGUCCUGAAGUGCCAGGCGGGGCUGCCUGGGGGUGACUCCAUAGCAGGUGCUCCCCCCCAAAAAAUAUUUCCCUCUUCCACUUUCAUUCUUCCAUCCAUCUUACUGGAGCUUUAUAGCAAAGUGACAGACAAUAUACACGGCAGAUUAUGGACCUAGAAUUUGAAUGCAUUACCUUGGAAGACCCGCCCCCCAUCUAAAGAAGCCUCAUUCUACCCCCGAACAAGCCGCAGAAGCCAGUGCAGCCAGCGAAGUAAGGAGGAGACUCCUCCAGCCUCCCAGGAGCCAGGCCAAGCCUUUAGGUCCCCAGACGCUGGUCUUGGAGAGGAAGAGAGAACUAGCCCAGAAAGCAGACGGGAAGGUUGGCCUAAUCCAAAAGGACUGUUUUUUUCCAAGGGGAAUCUGUCCCAUUUUCUAAAUAAGUUUGCAAAUGUCAAGCAAGCUUAAUUAAUAGGUUAAGCAGACAUUAAUUACCGUACCUUGAUAAGUAUUUAGCGGCAGCAAAAUCCUUGCUCCCUUAAUAACCUUAUUUGCCACCCCCCUGUCCCCCGCAAACUAAUUGCUCUAGAGUCACUCCUGAAAAGGGGCAGCAACAUCCUUUUGGUGACUGCCUCCAGGCUUGUCUUCCCACAGUCCUCUGAAUCCACCCUCCCCGUCUUUCUCGGGGACUGUGGGUAAAAAAAUCUGGUGGCUGCUAUGAAACUAGGGUAGCCCCUCCUGGCACUCCCCCCCCCCGUGUGACACUAUGUCCGGGGCAUUGUGGGGGGAAUAAUGGCUUCUCUCAGUAGGUGAGCACCAAAAGGAGUGCUGCUGCUCCUUUAAAGGUUUAAAUAGUUUGACCAUGGUACAGACAACUCCCCCCCCCCCCGAAUAAAAACCAGUGUGUGCAUGAAUGAAUACAUUCUGUUGACCUGGGGACUUUUUCAUUUAUUUUGCAACAAAAGGAAAAGAAGCCAAAUGGACUCACUUCCUGCCCAUUUUUCAUGGGUUACGAAAUGAGUGCACACUCCUAGACAUUGCCCUGGGCAUUAACAGAGGAAAAGCCCCGUUAUUAUUCCUGUGCCCCAGAGUGGAGUUGUGAAUUUGCUCUGGCGGCUCGUCUCGGAAGCCUCGGGAGACAACCGGCUGGUUUCCCUUGCAGCCUUCCCUUAGGAUGGGCUUCAUCUUGCCCAAGCUGGAUUUAUUCUUUGCGAAGCAAUAUAUGGUGGAGCUCAGCUGGGUGAGGUCAGGUGCGCUGCAGGCAGGCACAGCAAGGGAGAAGACUUGUCCAAAGGUUCGAGGCUAAGCAAGGAAAGACUUCUCCCUCCGACUCUGGGUCUUCCACAGCUCCUGCUGCUGCCCCACCCCAGCUCGGCUGUGCAUUUAAUGUGGGCACGGAAGGGGUGAGUCUGGGUGUGUGCAUGGCAGCCCUUAGUAACUGACCUGGACGCAGGGUCUCCCUGUCAUGCGCUGGGGGGUUCCCUUUCCCUCUCUGUGGAAUCCAGAGCUUGGAGCAAUAGCUUGGCUUAGGGUGACCCACCAGGAUCCUGGGAACGUGGGCCACGUUCAGGCCAACCCCUGCCCCCCGCCCGGCACCUGAGGCAACAGGACGAGAUGGUGGGGCAGGUGCUUUGAGGCAGCAGGCCAACUGAGGGGGCUACUCUGCUGCCUCUGCCAACCACGCCCCCCCACACACACACAGGUGGCUGCCUCACUAUAACACCUCCUUUGUAGGCUGGCCAUGGCCAUGUUGGGCACCAAACAAGCCGUGAAGCAGCAGGGGAUAUGUGGCUCCCCUGUGCCCCAUGGACCCCUUCUGUGAACACUCUCUCUCUCUCUCUCUCUCUCUCUCUCUCUCUCUCUCUCUCUCUCUCUCUCUCUCUCUCUCUCUCUCUCCCCUCCCUCCAUAGGGCAGGUCGGAACUUGGAGGGAGUACAGCAGCAGCAGAAGCAGCAGCAGCAGCACCUCAUCCGCUCUCACACCCCACCCUGCUUCUGUUGCUGCUGAGGUGUUCCCUCCUGCCUGCCUGGGGUUCCUCCUGGAAUUGCUGGCAGGGGGCAGAGGGGCUGUUCCUGUCAGGCAACAUGUGUGCAACUAGUCUGGUCCUGCCAAGAAUUCCUGGCUCGGGGGUAACCAAAUCCCAAGGCUGGGGUGGUGCAUUCCCUGGGCUGUGCAGCUUCUGGCUGGGACUGGAGCAGAACAGAGAGGCUCAGAGUUAGAACUGCACAAGUGAAAUUUUUGAAGAUGCCCCUUGAUUUUCUUGCAGAGAUUAAUAAAGAAUGCAGGUGAGUGUCGUUGUCGUCCCCCCAAAAAAAACCCCUCAAAUUCUGUAUGGUCUCCUGCAGAUGUCCAUCCAUCCAUCCAUCCAUCCCUUCCCUCCCUGCAGAUGGCUGUCCUGUAGCUGAGUGAGUGGCGUGAAAUUCUGAAAUGCUGCAAAACUCCAUUCUGGGGUUGCCCAGCUGACCAGCCCCACCAGUGCCGAGGUGCCCCCUUCAGCUUGUGGAGCACAGCAAAGAAAGUGGUCCCUUCCCCCUUGUUUCCAUUACUGUGGGGAGCAGGGAGCAAAGAACAAAUCCAGGUGAAGGUACAUGUAUGCGCCGUGUGAUAAGGACUCCUGUGUUGUUUGCUCUCUUAUUAAAAAUACUUUUUUGUUAUGACUUUUAAUGGUAUUAGCUGCUUCAAGAGGGUCCUAGGCUAAGAAACAGAACAUAAGAACAGCCAUGCAGGAUCAGGCCCAAGGAGCCCCAUCUAGUCCAGCAUCCUGUUUCACACAGUGGCCCACCAGAUGCCUCUGGGGAACCCACAGGCAAGAAGGGAGGUCACAGUCACGCUCGGCCCCCUGACACAGUGCCGGCCAGUGGCGUGGUGACCACUCCACCCUGGACAGUCUAAAGAGGAUGGGGGGGGGGGGUUGGUACGGGGUGUGGAGGCCCUCGACUUCAGCCCAGAAGUCUGGGAGUAAGAGCACCUCUGCACAAUAUAAAUAAAUUCUGACAAUAAGGAUGGCUGACUCUUUAAGAUAUCUAAAAUGUGUAAACUUUAAAAUAAA